GUGCUUGUGAUGGCUCUGACUCGUUGCAAUUUCUAUCCUAGUAGCUGGUAUUCUCUGCGUAUACAUAAACUAUGAUUGUGACAGACAGAGGCAAGAGUUCCGCAGAACAAAUGGCAAAGCCCUUGUCUGGGGAAAGGCUCCUUCAAAGAUUGUCGCCUCAUACACUACUACAACUGGCGAAACUAAAACCAGCAUUCUCCUGACAUCUGGAUGGUGGGGCUUAUCGCGGCAUUUCCAUUAUGUUCCAGAAAUACUAGCUUCGUUUUUCUGGAGUGUGCCAGCUCUUCUCAACCAUUUCAUGCCCUACAUCUAUGUAAUCUAUCUGACGGGCCUCCUUUUGGAUCGAGCCAAAAGGGAUGACGAAAGGUGCAAGUCGAAGUAUGGCAAAUACUGGAAAAAGUAUUGU